rnacentral:rRNA from 1 species
GAUGAAAGCUAGCUACAGGCUUAACACAUGCAAGUAGAGGGACCGGAGACCGGGUGAGUAACACGUAUCCAACCUGCCCUUUACUCGGGGAUAGCCUGUCGAAAGAAAGAUUAAUACCCGAUAUAAAGGAUGGGGAUGCGUUCCAUUAGGUUGUUGGUGAGGUAAAGGACAACAAAAGAUUCGAGGGAGUGGGGUUCGUAGAGGAAGGUCCCCCACAUUGGAACUGGGACACGGUCCAAACUCCUACUGGAGGCAGAAGUGAUGAAUAUUGGUCAAUGGGCGUUAGCCUGAACCAGCCAAGUAGCGUGAAGGAUGAAGGCUUAUGGGUCGUAAACUUCUUUUAUAUAAAAAUAUGUAUUAUAUGAAUAAGGAUAGGCUAACUCCGUGCCAGCAGCCGCGGUAAUUC